AGCAGGGGGCUCAGCGGUUAGAGCUGCUGCCUCACACUCAGGCAACGGGUUCGAACCCUCCUCCUGCUG
rnacentral:tRNA from 1 species